rnacentral:rRNA from 1 species
UACGGGGGGGGCAAGCGUUGUUCGGAAUUACUGGGCGUAAAGGGCUCGUAGGCGGCCAACUAAGUCCGACGUGAAAUCCCAAGGCUUAACCUUGGAACUGCGUCGGAUACUGGAUGGCUUGAAUUCGGGAGAGGGAUGCAGAAUUCCAGGUGUAGCGGUGAAAUUCGUAGAUAUCGAGAGGAACACCGGUGGCGAAGGCGGCUCACUGGCCCGGUACUGACGCUGAGGUGCGAAAGCGUGGGGAGCAAACAGG